GAUGAACGCUGGCGGCGUGCCUAAUACAUGCAAGUCGAGCGGAAAGACGAGGAGCUUGUUCCCCUGCCGUUAGCGGCGGACGGGCGAGUAACACGUGGAUCACAUACUUAUAAUUCUGGGAUAAUAUCGGGAAACCGGAGACACUAAUGCAUAAUAUAUUCAACCGCAUGAUUCAAUAGUGCUUGGCGCUUUUGGUGAUACUUAUAGCCGGUUCCGCGCCACAUAAGCUAGUUGGUAAGGUAACGGCUUACCAAGGCACCGAUGCGUAGCCGACCUGAGAGGGUGAUCGGCCACACUGGAACUGAGACACGGUCCAGACUCCUACGGGAGGCAGCAGUAGGGAAUCUUCCACAAUGGGCGAAAGCCUGACAGAGCAACGCCGCGUGAGUGAAGAAGGUCUUCGGGUCGUAAAACCCUUUUAUUAGGAAAGAACAACAGUGUAAGUAACUAUGGACGUCUUGACGGUACCUAAUCAGAAAGCAACGGCUAACUACGUG
rnacentral:rRNA from 1 species